UGGGGAAUAUUGGACAAUGGGCGAAAGCCUGAUCCAGCCAUGCCGCGUGUGUGAAGAAGGUCUUCGGAUUGUAAAGCACUUUAAGUUGGGAGGAAGGGCAGUAAGCGAAUACCUUGCUGUUUUGACGUUACGCGCAGAAUAAGCACCGGCUAACUCUGUGCCAGCAGCCGCGGUAAUACAGAGGGUGCAAGCGUUAAUCGGAAUUACUGGGCGUAAAGCGCGCGUAGGUGGUUCGUUAAGUUGAAUGUGAAAGCCCCGGGCUCAACCUGGGAACUGCAUCCAAAACUGGCGAGCUAGAGUAGGGCAGAGGGUGGUGGAAUUUCCUGUGUAGCGGUGAAAUGCGUAGAUAUAGGAAGGAACACCAGUGGCGAAGGCGACCACCUGGGCUCAUACUGACACUGAGGUGCGAAAGCGUGGGGAGCAAACAGG
rnacentral:rRNA from 1 species